rnacentral:rRNA from 1 species
CGGUCCAGACUCCUACGGGAGGCAGCAGUGGGGAAUUUUGGACAAUGGGCGCAAGCCUGAUCCAGCAAUGCCGCGUGAGUGAAGAAGGCCUUCGGGUUGUAAAGCUCUUUUGUCAGGGAAGAAACGGUGUUUUCUAAUACAGAGCGCUAAUGACGGUACCUGAAGAAUAAGCACCGGCUAACUACGUGCCAGCAGCCGCGGUAAUACGUAGGGUGCAAGCGUUAAUCGGAAUUACUGGGCGUAAAGCGUGCGCAGGCGGUUUUGUAAGACUGU